UGCAGCCUUGGGAUAGGAGGCUGAGGAAAGAGCUGGGUUGAACGUGACCUCGACGCCAGUAGGGAAAGACCCGGUUGGAGAAGGCCGGGGAGGCGUAGGGGUUGUACCUGGCCGAGCCCAGACUUCUUUUGGGCAUUCCGCUUCCGCUUCGUUGGGGACCGGCGCCUUUAUCUCUCUGUUGACCUGGUGGCAGGGCAAGAGCAGGGUCACGGGCCUGUCCUCCCAGCUAGCGCCGCUCCCAUAGCGGCCGGUCUGCCGUGCAAGCGCCCCCUGCGGCCGCAUUUGGAUCCCCGGACUCUGCGUGGGGUGGUGGGGAAGUGAGGAGAUGGAGGCACAGAGAAGUUAAAAUGUACCCUGAAUCUCACAGCUGGCAAGUGGUCCAGCUUUAAGGCCCUCGGUGAAGCUUCCCUGCCAGUCAAUGUCAGAGCACCACAGCUGUCCCCUUGGAAGCUCCCUUACAGAUGUCAGUGAUUAAGCAGUUCUGUGGGUUAAAGGGCCCCAAGGAUUUUGCCCUCCAACCACCUUUUGUGAAUUUGACAGAGUUAAGCACCUCACGUCUCUGCUUGGUAUGUGGUGUGCCCCUGUUUUGCCCCAGGUGUUGUGGGUUCCUGGCCAUCUUAUCACCAUUCCUGCUCUGGUUACUCCCUACCCAACCCUGCUCUGACUGCUGGGCCCACAAUGCCACCCAGUGGUAAUUCCUCUCAGUUUCACUUGUCAAAUUUUCUUGUUCUCUCCAGGAUAACCCCUCCUGGCACUCCUUGCACCUUGCUGCAGGGAGUCCCUGCUCCUCCCCACCAGGAGUAGUCACAAGAUGGGUCAUCACAAUAAUAAUACACAGCAGUGCCUUCCUCAAAGUGUGGCUCAUUUGGUCUCUCUAGUCUCCUCAUUUCAGCCUUUCCUCUCCCUGAAGAAUAGUCCACACAGGUGUGUAUGUGUGUAUAUGUGUCGGGGGUAUGUAUAUUCAGUCCUCUACUCCCCAUCCCUACUCCUUGAUAAACGCGCGCGCACACACACACUGGACCCCUUUAACAAAGUCUGCCACCAUGAACCCACCCCUAUCCUGGCCCAGCCAUCCCAAAUAGUGAAUUCUCACACCAGUAUGCAAGUGGUUGCUAGAAAAUGAGCAUCUAGGGGAAACCAUGUAUUCUGAGUCUCUUGGGUUGAAUCAAUAGUUCAGAACAUCUAUGAUGGACCUAUGUGGGACAUGUGUGUGUGCUUGUGUAAGCAUUGGCAUUGGUGGUGGAGACUGUAAAGGGACAGGGAUCACCACCACUGCUUACUUUUCACAUUUCCCUAUGGUCUGAAUUUAUUGUAACAAGGAAGUUUUACUUAUGCAAGUAAAAUUUGAAUUAAAAAGAGAUCACUUAAAAAAUACAAUUAUAAGAUGUUUAGAACAAUUAUAAUCAGAUUCGAUUUUUAGAAACUAAGAUAGCAAUCACAGCAUACACUGAGAUAAUUUGGCUGGGAAAGGAGCCAGCCCCCACCCUCAGCGCUCUGCUUGUGAGUAGGACCCUGCUUGUCCAGAAAGAUCUUGCUCAGCUUUGGGUUCAUCUGGCCCAAACCAUCACCUUUAGAGGGAGGAUCCAUCUCCACUCUCCAAGCUGUAGAAGCUUCCAGAUCACGGAGCUUCCUCCAAAUCUCUGAGAUCUUAGAUCAGAUUCUGAGAUGGGGCUCAGGGACCGAGGUCUGGGUCCAGCUGGGCAUAAAUGUGAGUGUGUGUGUGUGUGUGUGUGUGUGUGGUGCAUAUGUAUGCCCAUGUGUCUGUACACAUGUGCAAAUCUGUGCUUGUGCAUCUGUGAACAUGUGUAAGAGCAUAUUUGUACAAGUGGAUGUGGGAGGGGACAGGAAGGCACAGGACAGGAGGGCAUCAUUUGAGGGUGAGAGCUGGGCCCUGGAAUUGUUCUCUGGGGGUUCGGAUGGAGACCCUGCCAUGAGACUUACUGAUCUCAGGCUGGUUGCUUGAUCUCUCAGGUCUUGUCUGUCUUGCGUGUCUGUCCUGUAGACUGCAUGACGUGGGUAUAACCCUGUCGCCUCUGGUCCCAGUGAGAUCAUGGAGUUCCCAGGUAGAACACCCUCUCAGUGUCUGAUCCAAGAAAAGGGUUCAGUAAGUUGAGGCCAUCGUCAGGGUUUCUGUUUCACCAAACUCUUCUAGCCUGAAGGUUGUCUCAAGGCGACAGGGCAGAGUGCCGGGCCCUUUCUUCUGGCUCAACCCCUGUACAGAGCAGGUGCCAGUUCUCCAGGAACUGCUGAUCUGAAGAGCCUUGGAUCUUCAGCCCAGGAGUCCACGUGCAUCCACCUGCGUGUGUGCUGGGGUAUGGGGAAGUUGGUGGGAGAGCUGUCUGGGCCCAAUCCUACCAACAGCAGGAAGGUCUCCGAGGCACGGGAGGGGCCGAGGCCUCAGUGCCUGCAGUCCUGACAGUGGCCUGUAGAUGGCAGCAGAGGCUCGCGCAGGGACCCUGACCCAGGCCUCACCCACCCAGUCCUAAGUGAGCCACCAAGUUCCAGUCCCUCAGCCUGAGGGUUGGGGAAUGGGCGCGGUGUGCUGGAAGAGUGCAGAUUUGUCUCAGCAGAGAGCAACACCCCCUGCGGCUCUAUACAAGUU